AGCCAGCUUCAAGGAGUGGUAGAGCAGAAACCGAAGUCUAACUGAGCUAAUGUCUUGUUUGAGCUGAUGGAGGUUGGUGGCACAGAGAACACGUCGUGGCAGCACAGUUUGCAGAAAGCCCAGGGUAUAUACCAGUGCAGAGGCACCAGAUCUGUGAGAUGUUAUUCCAGGACUUUUUUGCCUUCAUUAGUUUUCAACAGUUGGUGCCUGGCCACCGCUGGAGCUGAGACGCCAGGUGGGUCUGCUACAGGAUUACAUACUGCCUUACAGUAUGGCAAGACCAUGAAGACAGAGAAUGAAGAGGCUGCCUGUGUUCUUAAUAUCAACUUAUAGUUUCUACUGAUAGAAGAAUGUUAACAUUCAGGGCUACAAUAUGAAAGGUGUACCUUAAAAGACUGUUGUUAUUCUGGAGGACAAUUUCCUAUAUGAAAAGGUUUGCAUCGAUGUUUUAGGAAAUCUAUAUUAAGCGUUACCUUGAGAGAUAAAGACUAAUUCCCCCUUCAGCUUAAAAAUUGUGAUAGCUGAGUUAAAACCAAUCAUCCUGCUGCAUUUUUAUGUGCAAGCAAUAUAAAGUCUGAACCACUGUGCUUUUAAAGAACCAAUUCAAUAAAACUAAAAACAAUUACAAAGAAGAUUGAUUGCUGGAAAGAAUUUAACAGAAAAGCUUGAGUAAAAACAGGUUACAGUGUUAUUAUUUAUCCAAGUGCUACAAAGCAGUAAUCAAGGAAACCUACUAAUUUUAAGAGUCAUUGUAGAGAUGAAAGAAUGCAGUAAUAUGAAUAGAAUACAUAACAAAUUACAAAAAUAUAGUAGAACAUAUAAAUUAAGAGGUAGAAAAGGGAGAGAGGGACAGUUAAGCACAGUUAAGAGUAAUAGGAGCUUUUAGAAACAUAUGGAGCAAGAAAAACAAUGCUAAGUCUUUUACUUAAAUAUUUUGAAUGUAAAUCACUUCUAAAAGAACUCAGUCUUUGUUCAACUUUGUCUUUAUUUAUGUAAGGGACCGAAUUCAGUGCUUUAGUUAUUAGAAGUUCUGCACUUAGAGAGCAGGUGAAUGCUCAACACUUCUGAAAAUAAAGCCAUUAGUUCUGGGGAUGGAGGACAGCUUGUACAGUACUCCCAAAUAAUUAUGUGCCUAGAAAAGUAAGAUUCUUGUCUUCAUCCCUACUCUCCUAUGUGUCUUUAAAACAUGCCCCACACACGCCAAGUUCAGCUGCUUGCUUUUAAAACUCAUAACCAGUUGUGGUUUAACAACGAUGGGCAGCCAAGCACCACACAGCCAUUCUCCCACUCCGACUCCUCAGAAGAAGGGAGAAAACAUGAUGAAAAAACAGCUUGUGGGUGAAGAUAAGGACAGGAAGAUGGGUCACCAAUUACCGUCACAGGCAAACAGACUGCAAUAAGGGAGAUUAAUGGAAUGUACUGUCUACUGCUUGUACACCAGAGCAGUGAGAACUAGAAGCAAACAAAAAAACACCCUUCUCACCAUCUACUCUUCUCCACUUCCUUCAUCCAAGCAGCACAGAACAUGGAAUGGGGUUGCGGUCAGUCCAUAGCGCUUCGUCUCUGCUGUUCCUUCAUGGCCACUCUCUGCCACUGCUCUAGUGUGGGAUCCAUCCCAUAGGAUGCCAUCCUUCCCUAACUGACCCUCCAUGGGUUUUCUACAGGCUGCAGCUCUUCAAGAACUGCUCCAGUGUGACACAGGGCAGCACUGGGCUCUGCUCACAGAGGCUGCCCCUGCAGUCCUCUGUCACCAAGAGCUCACCAUAUAAACCCAAUACAUCAUGGUUCCAAGACUCUCAGGAAACAAUGCAACGUAACAAUUUUGUUGCCAUUUUAGUAUUAUUGUGUUGAUGAUGGAUUAUUACUAUUAUUGAUUCUUCAUUUGUCUCUCUUCUAUGAUAUCAUUCACUGCUAUGAGAAUGGGCUUUAUCAGUCUAACUGAUGUAGCUUGCUUUGGAGCAGGAGAGAAUUUAUUCUCUGGAAUUAGAGGCUGUCAAGGACUGUGAGAGAGGAAUUGUGAAAAUAAAAGCAAUCACUAAAAAGUAUGUAUUUACCAAGAAACGUAACUGUGCAAUCUC
ensembl:lncRNA